rnacentral:rRNA from 1 species
CGGACGGGUGAGUAACACGUGGGAACGUGCCUUUAGGUUCGGAAUAGCUCCUGGAAACGGGUGGUAAUGCCGAAUGUGCCCUUCGGGGGAAAGAUUUAUCGCCUUUAGAGCGGCCCGCGUCUGAUUAGCUAGUUGGUGAGGUAACGGCUCACCAAGGCGACGAUCAGUAGCUGGUCUGAGAGGAUGACCAGCCACACUGGGACUGAGACACGGCCCAGACUCCUACGGGAGGCAGCAGUGGGGAAUCUUGCGCAAUGGGCGAAAGCCUGACGCAGCCAUGCCGCGUGAAUGAUGAAGGUCUUAGGAUUGUAAAAUUCUUUCACCGGGGACGAUAAUGACGGUACCCGGAGAAGAAGCCCCGGCUAACUUCGUGCCAGCAGCCGCGGUAAUACGAAGGGGGCUAGCGUUGCUCGGAAUUACUGGGCGUAAAGGGCGCGUAGGCGGAUCGUUAAGUCAGAGGUGAAAUCCCAGGGCUCAACCCUGGAACUGCCUUUGAUACUGGCGAUCUUGAGUAUGAGAGAGGUAUGUGGAACUCCGAGUGUAGAGGUGAAAUUCGUAGAUAUUCGGAAGAACACCAGUGGCGAAGGCGACAUACUGGCUC